CACUUUUCGGAGAGGUGGAGCCAAUAAAGUCUGCUGGAUAAGAGCUGCCGAGGCCUCAUCCUCACCUCGGUGCAGUCUUUGCUUUGUGCUCCGUGUUUGCAUUGCAUUACAUAUUUGGAGUUGCAUUCAAAUAAAUACUCUUUUUAAUCCAGAGCCAGCCCAAGGUGUUCUCAGCCGGCCUGGACAUCAUGGAGAUGUACGGGAAGAGUCCAGAGCGCUAUGGAGAGUUCUGAAGAGUUGUUCAGGAGAUGUGGCUGAAACUCUACGGCUCCAGCAUGGUCACCAUAGCUGCAAUCAAUGGCUCCAGUCCUGCAGGCGGCUGUCUCAUGUCUAUGACGUGUGACUACAGGAUUAUGGCGGACAACCCGCGUCACAGCGUCGGCCUCAAUGAGACGCAGCUGGGCAUCGUGGCGCCUUUUUGGGCCAGAUUUACUGGGAAAUUGCGUUUCUUUAUGCAAUCGGCUCCUGGACGGCACCUGCUGCUGAACCCCCAGACGAGCUCGCCGGAGCAGUUCAGGAGGAUUUCUACGAGAUCACUGAGCUCAGAGCAGAAAUAACAGAGGUCUUUUUCAAGAGCAACAAUUGAAAGUGGUUCGGGCAUUUAAUUCGGACGCCUCCUGGACACCUGCCUUUAGAGGUUAUCCAGGCACGAUUAUAUCUCCCGGCUGGCCUGUGAACGCCUCGGGAUCCCCCAGAAUGAGCUGGAAAAUGUUGCGGGUGAGCGGGAAGUCUGGGUCAGCCGGCUGGGUCCGCUGCCCCCGCGACCCGACCCCCCGGACUAAGCGGACGAUAAUGGAUGGAUGGAACUAUUGAAAGUGUGCAACACUUUCUUUCAAGCCCUCAUCACGACCCUCGGUGUGCAUCAAUAAAACUAAAAGUGACCAAUGAGGUCCAAUAUUGAGUGAGAACGCCGCUUAAAGCCGCGAAAUAGGCUGCAAUUAAAUUGCUCGUGACGAUUGGGCUCCGUUAAUGUCGAACCUGACAGAUCGUAAGGACCCGUUGAGUGAGAUUGAGAAUAUUUGAGAUCAGAAUCAGAAUCAGAAUCAGAAACAGUUUUAUUGCCAGGAAUGUUUACACAAACGAGGAAUUUUUUUUGGCGGAAGGUGCAACAUUUGGACAUGACAAACAAACAACAAUCAACACGACAGAAAGACAACAAAUAAUGUGAAAGUGUUUGGGUGUGUGCUUCAAGUGAUGUGUGUUUUAGUUAAAAGUGUAUGUUACAUGUGGCGUGUGUUUAAGUGUUUAAGUUAAAGUGCAUGUAAAUAAAGUGGCAUGUGUGUGGGGGAGGCCUCAAGUUAAAGUGCAUGUUAAAGUGACGUGUGUGGAGGAGGCCUCCAGGAGGGAAGAAGAAGGAGGAGGGAGGAGGAA